rnacentral:rRNA from 1 species
ACGCUCGACACCUACGGAGGCAGCGGUUGGGAAUAUUGGACAAUGGAGGAAACUCUGAUCCAGUGACGCCGCGUGAAGGAAGAAGGUCUUCGGAUUGUAAACUUAUUUUGUCAGGGAAGAAAAAAUGACUGUACCUGAAGAAAAAGCACCGGCUAACUACGUGCCAGCAGUCCACGGUAAUCUGAGCGGGCUGGCAAGGC